UUUUGAUGAUGGAUUCACUGGACGAAUAUCAGCAUCAUAAAUUUUGGAUUAUUUUCAAAAUAGUCCAACUAAGACCGCAUUCUAACGAAUCCGGGAAGAUCUGGACUGGUCUACGUUAUUCACAUAAGUUGCCAUCGUGGGUAAACGUAGUUAACAAACCCACAGCAAUAAAUGAAAGUAGUUUGUGUUUGGGCUUGAGAUAUAACAGGACGACUACAAACGAUGUCCAAAUUGAUGACUGGGAGGUUGUUAGCUGCGAUGGAAAAUAUGGUUUUAGUUGUGGACAUAGGGCUCCUGAACACUGGCCACCAUAGCUGAUCGCCUAGCAACACGACUUUCAGGGAAAAUAGGGAACUUGAAUACCUACUACAAUGUGUACACCUUAUACAAAAAUGUGUAUUAAAAAAAACAUCUACUUGCUGUUACAGUGAUGAACUAUCUAGCUCAGUCGUUGGAUCAAGGGACAAGUAAUAUGUUUCUUGUAUCGCCUCUUAUUAAAUGUACCUUACACAAUUGGCCUCGGUCACAAAGGUGCCUACAUAGGGACCUGGUUACUGUGAAUGCUAAAAAGUAUACUAACCUACGAGGAGGAUUUCUUUCGUAAGAGGUUGAAUUUAAUAAUGAGGUUAAAAUAUCUAGUCACAUUGUAUCAACAAGAUAACCACUUAUCACAGGUAUCCAUUUUAUUGUUUGAAAUUGAAUUGACUUUUUUUCCCGCAAAAAAAAAUCCUAUGUGUAAGAAAGCUUACCUUCUAAGAAAUGUAUACUGCUUUGUCCAUUUAUAGUCAAGUUAUUGUCCAAUAUUAUCCUGUUAAUCAAUUGGUAGAUUCUGCAGUUUGGAAUAUGUA